AAAGUCCUCUUCUUUCCACUGUGAUGCAAGGACUCUUUGCUCGAUUCAGUUUCAGGUGGUAACGCACUGAAACAUAGGCCUGCUCACCGCAACGUUCCAGAACCAAGAGCUUGUUCUCAUCAGAAGAAGAGAGUGCGAACACGGUACUGUUCCAAACACAAGAUGCUUUCAUAUUUGGUUCAGCUAGCGACCUGGCAUGUCACUCCAAUCAGAUGCUACUGCCUUUGCACUUCUAUGGACUUUAUUUUAGAAACACAAAAUCUGCCCAGUAUGAGUGUAUGACAGUUGCAAUGAAUUCUCAAGCAUCUCAAGCAUCCCUAAGGUAACCUGAGUGUAUAUUGACGUGCUUUAUUUUUUUGAGAAUCCCAAUGCUACGGUAUGCCAAAAAUAUGUGGAUAACAAAAACGUUGAUAUGAAGAUACAGAUAAAUCGAAGAUCAGAAAGAUGUGAGCUCAGAUUUUAUUUGUCUGAUACAGUAGCAGGGUUUAAUAAACAUUCCUUGUUAUUAUUCGCCUGGUUCUGUUGGUACGUUAGAACGAAAGUCAAUUGUAUUGUGUUCAUAUGGAAGGCUGAAAGCCAUGGAUUGUGGACAUCAGUUUUGUGCAUAAUAAAAA